GACGAACGCUGGCGGCGUGCUUAACACAUGCAAGUCGAACGGAAAGGCCCUGCUUUUGUGGGGUGCUCGAGUGGCGAACGGGUGAGUAACACGUGAGUAACCUGCCCUUGACUUUGGGAUAACUUCAGGAAACUGGGGCUAAUACCGUAUAGGAGCUCCUGCUGCAGGGUGGGGGUUGGAAAUUUUCGGCGGUUGGGGAUGGACUCGCGGCUUAUCAGCUUGUUGGUGGGGUAGUGGCUUACCAAGGCUUUGACGGGUAGCCGGCCUGAGAGGGUGACCGGCCACAUUGGGACUGAGAUACGGCCCAGACUCCUACGGGAGGCAGCAGUGGGGAAUAUUGCACAAUGGGAGGAAGCCUGAUGCAGCAACGCCGCGUGCGGGAUGACGGCCUUCGGGUUGUAAACCGCUUUCGCCUGUGACGAAGCGUGAGUGACGGUAAUGGGUAAAGAAGCACCGGCUAACUACGUG
rnacentral:rRNA from 1 species